CCUACGGGAGGCAGCAGUAGGGAAUCUUCCGCGAUGGACGAAAGUCUGACGGAGCAACGCCGCGUGAGUGAUGAAGGCUUUCGGGUCGUAAAACUCUGUUGUUAGGGAAGAACAAGUGCUAGUUGAAUAAGCUGGCACCUUGACGGUACCUAACCAGAAAGCCACGGCUAACUACGUGCCAGCAGCCGCGGUAAUACGUAGGUGGCAAGCGUUAUCCGGAAUUAUUGGGCGUAAAGAGCGCGCAGGUGGUUUCUUAAGUCUGAUGUUAAAGCCCACGCCUCAACCGUGGAGGGUCAUUGGACACU
rnacentral:rRNA from 1 species